rnacentral:lncRNA from 1 species
CUUUUCAAGUAAGGGGUAUCGUGCUGAGGGUUGGAAGGGUGGCAGACCUCCAUCUUCACAUCCAGGAGGGAAGUGAGGCCAACAUGGCCAACAGCCAGUCAGCCUUACAUUGCUCUCAGAAGCUGCUGUGAAGGUGGAGAACUAACUAUUAGACCUAACCUCACCGUUCAUCCCAGUUCCUUUUUCAUGUCCGUUUUCUAAUUAGAAGCAGCAAAAGGAUGCAUCAAACUGACCCCAGGGCGACCCCAGCUUGACCUCUAGCCUCUCCUCUGAAGAUGACUCAACUGGGGAAGGCAGGUGCUGGCCUGUUGCUAAAGACACCAAGAGAGGCUUGAGGCCUGAGGCCAUGGCUCUUGCGGGCAUCGGUUUGGUGGUGGUGAUUUGUGGCUCUUGGUAGAAGAGACGGGAACCUGGGAGAGUCAGUAGUGCAGGGUGGUCCAGUCCCAUGUUUCAGGAUGCUGUUUAUUUACGUGUGUGUGUGUGUGUGCGUGUGUGUGUGUACAUGUAUUAGGCAUGAGUGUGUGUGCCCACGUAUGCAGAGCCCGUCUCAGAGCUGUGAGCUGUUUCAUGCAGUGUUUGGCCCCUUAGCCUAACCCAUUGCCUCACAGUUAAACAGAUAGGAAUGCUGGCCCUGGCUCCAGGGUGGAAUGUGGGGUUGCUGUGAUGGGAUUGGCUCCUUUCUCCAUCCGCUACAUCCCCAAGAAAGACUCUGCCCCUCAGCAGCCCAGGGAAUCCAUGCAGGCAGCCUGAACUGGCGUAGGCCCACCUGUGGGACUCUUCAAACAAUUGAGUUCUCAAGACAGUAUUUGCACGGAGAGAGGUUGGGGACAAGAGGUGCCCCUUGCUUCCCAGGAACUCACCUUGGGAAAGGGUCCACAAAGCUCUAGACUGGGCAAAAUUCAGGUUUCCAUGGGCUGAGCCUAGCACGUUUUUUCUUUCUCCUGCCUCAGUUUACCCGUAUCACAGGAAGAGUUAGAGCAGGGUCAGCCUCCAAACAAUAGGGGAGACGGAAGUACAGCAGUAGUCCUCCCGGCCCUCCUCCUGUAUGCCAAAAUCAUUUCCGUUAUCCCGAGGCAGGGGAGUGGGUAUGGGUGCCCGGCAGCGUUUUUAAGGGACCCUGCCCUGCCCACAGCCCCAGCUGACCCUCUCCUGGCAUGUCGUGCCCAGGUCACCAGCAACAGUGGUACUUCAUCAGUCCUGCAGCUUGGGUGAAGGGGGUGGGGGACGGGUGUCCUCCUCUGUCCACCUCCAGGGCCCCUCAUGCUUUUGUUUUCUCCUUGUCAAAGAAACAAAACCCUUAAGAGUUGUGUACUGUAUGAUGAAG